GACGAACGCUGGCGGCGUGCUUAACACAUGCAAGUCGAACGGAAAGGCCCUUUCGGGGGUACUCGAGUGGCGAACGGGUGAGUAACACGUGGGUGAUCUGCCCUGCACUUCGGGAUAAGCUUGGGAAACUGGGUCUAAUACCGGGUAGGACUACGAAUCGCAUGGUUUGUGGUGGAAAGUGUGGUGUUCUUUGAGCACUGUGCGGUGUGGGAUGGGCCCGCGGCCUAUCAGCUUGUUGGUGGGGUGAUGGCCUACCAAGGCGACGACGGGUAGCCGG
rnacentral:rRNA from 1 species